UGGGGAAUGAGGCUGGCAAGUGUCCCUCCCGACCAGAUAGAGGCAGGGAGUGGAUUGGGCAAUUGUCCACCCUAGGAUUUCCUCACUCAGCAUCCCUUGCUCAGCAUUCCUCCCUCGCUCAAUGCAGAACAUUCAAGCCUAAAGCUCGAUGGACAAAGAGGAAGAUAAGGCACAAAGUUAUAAUGACCCGCCAAACAUAUCCUUGACAGAUUGUUCAAACUCUAUGAAGGUUAUGGCUUUGUUUAUAGAUUGUUUUGGUCAACCUUGUUCUUAUUAUUGUUGGCAAAUUGAAACUAAUGAUAUAUUGCUUUUGUUUUUUGUUUUUAUCUAGGCUUUUAUGAUGCCAUAUCAAAAACAUCUGUUGUUGGGUUAUAACCUCUAUAUGCUCCUCCAAUCCCGAAUGCCCAUCCAAAUCCAUAUCCUGCACCACGUCCCUAUCCUACAAAUCCAUAUGGUCCAACCCCAUACGCUAAUCAAAAUUUAUACAUGCAACCAAAUCUCUAUGCUCCGCCUCCAAACCCAUAUGCUACUACAAAUCAGAAUGCUCCAUCUUCAAGCAUCAAUGCUCCUUCAACUUGUUACCCCUAUAUAUGGGGCUAUUACGUCAAUAUAAUACAUUUUUUUGACUAAUUUAUUAUACGUAAUAUUAUUAAUCAAAUUUCAACUUUAUUUGAUGGGUUCGUUAAAGUUAAUUAACUUAUUAGCUUUUAACCACUUUGUAGCCUCCAGUUAUCCAACCAUUUGGCUCAUGUAGCAUGGAUAAAUCAAGAAAAGUUGAGGAAUUUGCUAAAAGUAGGCAUGACAAUACUUCACAAACAAUUAAUUAGAGUAUGAAGAAGGAGCUCCCUGCAAGUAAAGAAGGUACAAGUUUCCACUGAAGCGAGCAUAAUAUUGAACAAGUGGAUUGCAUUAUUCAAACUGGAAGAAUGUACAACGCCCACUGGAGUCUAAUACAUACUGGAGUCUAAUGCGUGUUUUGAUGGCUGCCAUGAGACUAUAUUUUUGUUUUGUACAACAUUUUGUUUAGCAUUGAUGGCUAUAAAUUGUUUAGCUUUGAUGGCUCCAAUGGCUGC